rnacentral:rRNA from 1 species
CAUGCAGUCGACGGAAAGGCCCAGCUUGCUGGGUACUCGAGUGGCGAACGGGUGAGUAACACGUGGGUGAUCUGCCCUGCACUCUGGGAUAAGCCUGGGAAACUGGGUCUAAUACCGGAUAUGACCAACUGUCGCAUGGUGGUUGGUGGAAAGCUUUUGCGGUGUGGGAUGGGCCCGCGGCCUAUCAGCUUGUUGGUGGGGUAAUGGCCUACCAAGGCGACGACGGGUAGCCGACCUGAGAGGGUGAUCGGCCACACUGGGACUGAGACACGGCCCAGACUCCUACGGGAGGCAGCAGUGGGGAAUAUUGCACAAUGGGCGCAAGCCUGAUGCAGCGACGCCGCGUGAGGGAUGACGGCCUUCGGGUUGUAAACCUCUUUCACCAGGGACGAAGCGUGAGUGACGGUACCUGGAGAAGAAGCACCGGCCAACUACGUGCCAGCAGCCGCGGUAGUACGUCCGGUGCGAGCGUUGUCCGGAAUUACUGGGCGUAAAGAGCUCGUAGGCGGUUUGUCGCGUCGUCUGUGAAAUUCUGCAACUCAAUUGCAGGCGUGCAGGCGAUACGGGCAGACUUGAGUACUACAGGGGAGACUGGAAUUCCUGGUGUAGCGGUGAAAUGCGCAGAUAUCAGGAGGAACACCGGUGGCGAAGGCGGGUCUCUGGGUAGUAACUGACGCUGAGGAGCGAAAGCGUGGGUAGCGAACAGGAUUAGAUACCCUGGUA